AAGCGUAAUAGCUCACUGGUCGAGUCGGCCUGCGCGGAAGAUGUAACGGGGCUAAACCAUGCACCGAAGCUGCGGCAGCGAACGUAUCACCCAAGACAACUUUACGGAGUUGACGAUUGACGGAGCGAAGCGACGUCAAAGCGUUCAUUAAAGUCGAGUUGGCUUAGGGAUACGUUCGUUGGGUAGGGGAGCGUUCUGUAAGCCUGUGAAGGUGUGUCGUGAGGCAUGCUGGAGGUAUCAGAAGUGCGAAUGCUGACAUAAGUAACGAUAAAGCGGGUGAAAAGCCCGCUCGCCGGAAGACCAAGGGUUCCUGUCCAACGUUAAUCGGGGCAGGGUGAGUCGACCCCUAAGGCGAGGCCGAAAGGCGUAGUCGAUGGGAAACGGGUUAAUAUUCCCGUACUUGGUGUUACUGCGAAGGGGGGACGGAGAAGGCUAUGUUGGCCGGGCGACGGUUGUCCCGGUUUAAGCGUGUAGGUGUGUGUUCCAGGUAAAUCCGGUUCACUUUAACACUGAGGCGUGACGACGAGGCACUACGGUGCUGAAGCAACAAAUGCCCUGCUUCCAGGAAAAGCCUCUAAGCAUCAGGUAACAUCAAAUCGUACCCCAAACCGACACAGGUGGUCAGGUAGAGAAUACCAAGGCGCUUGAGAGAACUCGGGUGAAGGAACUAGGCAAAAUGGUGCCGUAACUUCGGGAGAAGGCACGCUGACACGUAGGUGAAGUGAUUUACUCAUGGAGCUGAAGUCAGUCGAAGAUACCAGCUGGCUGCAACUGUUUAUUAAAAACACAGCACUGUGCAAACACGAAAGUGGACGUAUACGGUGUGACGCCUGCCCGGUGCCGGAAGGUUAAUUGAUGGGGUCAGCGCAAGCGAAGCUCCUGAUCGAAGCCCCGGUAAACGGCGGCCGUAACUAUAACGGUCCUAAGGUAGCGAAAUUCCUUGUCGGGUAAGUUCCGACCUGCACGAAUGGCGUAAUGAUGGCCAGGCUGUCUCCACCCGAGACUCAGUGAAAUUGAACUCGCUGUGAAGAUGCAGUGUACCCGCGGCAAGACGGAAAGACCCCGUGAACCUUUACUAUAGCUUGACACUGAACAUUGAGCCUUGAUGUGUAGGAUAGGUGGGAGGCUUUGAAGUGUGGACGCCAGUCUGCAUGGAGCCGACCUUGAAAUACCACCCUUUAAUGUUUGAUGUUCUAACGUGGACCCGUUACCCGGGUUGCGGACAGUGUCUGGUGGGUAGUUUGACUGGGGCGGUCUCCUCCUAAAGAGUAACGGAGGAGCACGAAGGUUGGCUAAUCCUGGUCGGACAUCAGGAGGUUAGUGCAAUGGCAUAAGCCAGCUUGACUGCGAGCGUGACGGCGCGAGCAGGUGCGAAAGCAGGUCAUAGUGAUCCGGUGGUUCUGAAUGGAAGGGCCAUCGCUCAACGGAUAAAAGGUACUCCGGGGAUAACAGGCUGAUACCGCCCAAGAGUUCAUAUCGACGGCGGUGUUUGGCACCUCGAUGUCGGCUCAUCACAUCCUGGGGCUGAAGUAGGUCCCAAGGGUAUGGCUGUUCGCCAUUUAAAGUGGUACGCGAGCUGGGUUUAGAACGUCGUGAGACAGUUCGGUCCCUAUCUGCCGUGGGCGCUGGAGAACUGAGGGGGGCUGCUCCUAGUACGAGAGGACCGGAGUGGACGCAUCACUGGUGUUCGGGUUGUCAUGCCAAUGGCACUGCCCGGUAGCUAAAUGCGGAAGAGAUAAGUGCUGAAAGCAUCUAAGCACGAAACUUGCCCCGAGAUGAGUUCUCCCUGAGACUUAGAGUCUCCUGAAGGAACGUUGAAGACGACGACGUUGAUAGGCCGGGUGUGUAAGCGCAGCGAUGCGUUGAGCUAACCGGUACUAAUGAACCGUGAGGCUUAACC
rnacentral:rRNA from 1 species